UACGGAGGUGGCAAGCGUUGCUCGGAAUCACUGGGCGUAAAGGGCGCGUAGGCGGGGAGGUAAGUCGGGUGUGAAAUCCCUCGGCCCAACCGAGGAACUGCGCCCGAGACUGCUUCUCUUGAGUCCCGGAGAGGAAGGUGGAAUUCCCGGUGUAGCGGUGAAAUGUGUAGAGAUCGGGAGGAACAUCCGUGGCGAAGGCGGCCAUCUGGAUCAACACUGACGCUGAGGCACGAAAGCCAGGGGAGCGAACGGG
rnacentral:rRNA from 1 species